UGCUGACCUGCCAGCUAAUGAGUUUAUUACUGCAGGCUUGAUGGCAUUGAGAGUGAUGGGAUUCACCAUUGUUGCAAGUAUCAAGAUGAGAGGAAACUCUAUUUCUUCCCAAAUGGAUCAAGUGAGAAGUGGGUGUCGUCUUUCAUUUGGAUGCAGGAGAGGAAGAAUUGCACAGAUGAAAAUAGUCUCGUAGGGGAAAUGCAAGACAAGGAGCUCCAAGGCCCCAUCCAAAAACAUGGGAGACGGGGAAGCAGCCAGGACACCAAGACCCAGCAUUGUCAAGACAGACCUCGUAAUUGAUCCUGACAGAAAGGGAUGAAGAGUGCAGGAGUUCAGACACAAACAACAUCCAGUGUCUUGGUAACACCCUGGAGGUAAAAGCU
rnacentral:lncRNA from 1 species